rnacentral:rRNA from 1 species
GACGAACGCUGGCGGCGUGCUUAACACAUGCAAGUCGAACGGUGAUGCACCUUCGGGUGCUGAUCAGUGGCGAACGGGUGAGUAACACGUGGGCAACCUGCCCCUGCCUCUGGGAUAACUCGUCUAAAGCGGUGCUAAUACCGGAUACCACCCUCCUCGUCAUCGGGGAGGGUUGAAAGAACUUCGGUCAGGGCUGGGCCCGCGGCCUAUCAGCUAGUGGGGGGGGUAGUGGCCCACCCAGGCGACGACGGGGAGCCGGCCUGAGAGGGCAACCGGCCACACGGGGACUGAGACACGGCCCAGACUCCUACGGGAGGCAGCAGUGGGGAAUUUUGGACAAUGGGCGCAAGCCUGAUCCAGCAAUGCCGCGUGCAGGAAGAAGGCCUUCGGGUUGUAAACUGCUUUUGUACGGAGCGAAAAGGCUCCCUCUAAUACAGGGGGCUCAUGACGGUACCGUAAGAAUAAGCACCGGCUAACUACGUGCCAGCCGCCGCCGUAAUAC